rnacentral:rRNA from 1 species
UAGGGAAUAUUGGGCAAUGGGCGAGAGCCUGACCCAGCCAUGCCGCGUGCAGGAUGAAGGCUUUCUGAGUCGUAAACUGCUUUUGACAGGGAAGAAUAAGCUGGUCGUGACCAGUGAUGACGGUACCUGCAGAAUAAGCACCGGCUAACUCCGUGCCAGCAGCCGCGGUAAUACGGAGGGUGCGAGCGUUGUCCGGAUUUAUUGGGUUUAAAGGGUGCGUAGGCGGUCGAUUAAGUCUGGGGUGAAAGCCCGCUGCUCAACAGCGGAACUGCCCUGGAUACUGGUUGACUUGAGUACAGACGAGGUUGGCGGAAUGGACUGAGUAGCGGUGAAAUGCAUAGAUACAGUCCAGAACCCCGAUUGCGAAGGCAGCUGACUAGGCUGUUACUGACGCUGAGGCACGAAAGCGUGGGGAGCGAACA